rnacentral:misc_RNA from 1 species
UCUCCGUAGGUGAACCUGCGGAGGGAUCAUUACAGAGUUCUCGCCCUCGCGGGUAGAUCUCCCACCCACUGUUAUCGUUACUGUGUUGCUUUGGCGGGCCGCCGGGCCCCGCUCGGCCGCCGGCUCCGGCUGGCGCGCGCCCACCAGAGGCCCAGCAAACUCUGAAUGUUAGUGUCGUCUGAGUACUAUAUAAUAGUUAAAACUUUCAACAACGGAUCUCUUGGUUCUG